GAGAGAGGCCCGCUAGCAACGAUGACUGCUAAUCUUCGUCACCUUGGUUGGACCCCAAGGCUCACUCG
rnacentral:tRNA from 1 species